UCUCUCUCCUUUUUACGAUUUAUAGUUUAGAAACAAACCAGGGGAAGGAGGUUGAGACUGACGCAUGCUGCUGUGCUUGCUGUCACGUAUUACUUUUUUUAAGAACACGGUUUUCUAAGGAAUAUUGAGGUGUCUUACAGGGUGUUGCCUCCCAGAGCUUUGCACGUAUAUACUCACUGUCUACACAGACAUACUGACGAUGGUGGUGUGAGUGAGGGAAGUACUGUGCUCUGCCCAUUCUACUUGUCCUAGGUUGUUCUCAAGUUAAAUGAUUAGAUAGAAGUUUGGGGUCCUUUAAGCCAGAUUGAGUUAGGAAGCCCCAGUUAUAAAAUGUAUCCCACGUUGUCCAAAACCUAGGAGCUGCGAGCACAGAGUGGCUCCUCCACCUUUAACCCCCUACGCAUCCUGGCUACAGGAUGUGUAUUCGACCUCCUGAGAAAAUGAAAGUGUCCCUGCCGCGCGAGGUCUGUGUUUUGGUCCUCGAGGUUUAGGUUAGGUUUUUGGUUUGGGGUAGUUUUUGUAUCCAUCUUUGGGGUUGUGUAAGGGUUGUUCACUUAGAUCUUGGGGCAGUAUGUGGCACUGAGCGUGCCUGGGCCACAUGGAAUUCAAGCAUGCUUGCAAACUCUCACGAGUUAGGAGGAGAAGGAGCUACAGCACAGAGGCUACAUUUCACAUCACCAGAGCAUGCUCACUUACUCUUCCCUUCCAAAGGUAUUAGUCAUGGUUUUCCAGGAGCAAGUGCUGAACAUGUCUGCCAUGAGCAUGAACUUUAUCAAAUGUUGGUGUACUGACAUUAUUUUUCAGGAAAGACUCUAAGCCCCACAUAUACAGUAGCACAUAGUUUGAUGAAGAAGUCAACUUUAGAAAGAAAAAUGGAAACAUGACAGUAGAAAUUAAUGAAAGAAGUAAGAACGUGAAGAAGGAAGGAGGAAGGAGGAAGGAGAUGAAUGAAAGAAAAUCAGAGUAAGACAAAGAUAAAACAUUAACAACAUGGGCAAGCUAUGAAUGACAAAUCUGUAACUGGGGGACAAUACUGAUUACCUGCUUACUUUAAAGGAUUUGCUAUAACAUAACAAAUUCCCUUGACCUUCCAAUGGGUUAUUUUCAGAAAUUACAUCCCUCAUAGCAUUUUGAUUCCAAUAUGUAUUCAUUAAAAGGCAUUCACUUCUCUCUGCCUCUUUUACCAAGUUCUCUCAUAAUAAAACAUAUUUUCAUUGCUUGUUCACUGAGGGACAUAAUUAUGAACAUACAGUGUAUCAUAGAGUUCAUAUCAUAAAUUCAGACAAAAUGUGAAUUAUUUAGUCUCCAACAUAUAAAGAAAGUUUGUUUUAAUUUAUGACACCCAUUUGCUUUGUAUCUUUGCUCCUUUUUGAGAGAUUAGUUCCACGGUGUGGUCUGAUAUUGUUCUAGGACUAAAGCAUCAAGACACACAAGACAAGAGUUUCUAUCUGUGUGCUCAGAUGUGGUUCACAUUAGUGCUAAUGGUCAGAUGAACUGACCCCCAUAAUAGGAAUAAAAUGAUUGAUUUUGAGCCAAUGACAACAAUUCACUUCUCUUGACAAAGACCAUAAUGUCAAAACCAUGACUUUGCACAGGUAUUCAUAACCUGAUUAGAUUUGAAUAUACUGUCACAUGGCAAAAGGUCACUGCAUGAAAUUAUAUUGCUAGUUGGAUAACCUCAAAAUAGAGAUUGCUUGGAGUGGGCUCAUUCUCAUUACAAGAGUAUUUAAAUUUGGGGUUAAAGAGAUUACUAAGCAUGGUUAACCAUGCUUGCUGAAAAGCCUGGUGGACUGUGUUCACUUUCUCAGUAGCCACACAAAGACAGAUGCACAGAGUGGCACAUGUGUCUGAAAUUUUUUCACAGGAAGCCCUUGUGUAUAUAUUCUGUCUAUCUCGCUCUCUCUGCUUCUGUGUUUAUCUCUCUCAAAUAGUAAAUAAAUAAAUACUUUUAAGUGUGGAAGACAACCAUGCAAGAGGAAAUCGGAUAUAUACGAUGUGAGUAUUCAAAUUCCCAUCUUAGGAUCCGUGAUUGGAGAAAGGGGCCACAAACAUAUGAAUGCAGGCCCUUGAAGAAGAAAAGGCAGUGAAGUGAUGCUCAUUCCCCACAAGUCCCCAGAAAGAAACAAAGCUCUACUAACAUCCUCAUUUCAACUCAACUGGAUCUAUUUUAGAGUUCUCAUCUCCAGGACAGCGAAAUAGUACAUUUGUGUUCCAAAACUUCUAAGUUGUCAAAAAUCUACUCUAAUCCCAAUAGAACAUGAAUAUAGCAGGGUUUACACACCAACAGCCCUAAAAUAAAUCAAUGGUUCUUCUAUAAUUUUUAAGACAUAUCUGGUAGUUGAAAAAUGAGACUAGGGGAAUAUGAAUUUAGAAUUGCAAGAGGAUGCUUUAAAUAAGCUGAUUUAGGAGCUGAGGUGAUAGCCCAGUUGGUAAAACACUUAACAUUCAAGUAUGAGGGCCUAAGUUCAGAUCCCUAACACACAAAUAAAUUCCAAUUGUAGCACUGUGUGCCCAUAAUACAGCACUCAGGCCUCACAGUCAGUUUGAUCCCUGGAGCAAGCUGUUUAGCUAGACAAGCCAAAUCAAUGAACUCUAGGCUCAGUGAGACAUUGCCUCAGUAAAUAAUGUACAUUGUGAUUGAGAAAAAAAUCUGGCAUUAACUUCUGGUCUCCUCAUGUACAGAUGUGUGCUUCGACACACAUAUGGACAUGUACACACAUGCAUGAACACCACACAUAUGUACACCUGGAAAAAAUAGUAAAGAAAGUUUGUCUGCAAGAAUGAGCUGAUAAAUCUGUCAUGUUGUUUCCUAGUACUUAUGAACUUACUGGUAGGCUGGCUGUCUCUCAUUGAGAUACUGUUUGUGCUGAGCCCUUGGGCACAUGACCUGUUUCUCUGUGUUGGAUUCAUGCCAGGCUUAACUAAAAGCAAUUGCAGAAAGUAAGUGAUAGUCUCCCCCGUCCUUAUUCUACUGCUAAGCCUACUGUGAUACAGUAGCCAUCAAGAUGGUGUUGCAGGUCCAAAUACUGAGUAUAAUUCAACGAUCUCUGUCUCUAUUGAUGGCUAAGUUUAUCAAAAUAUAAAAUUAUUUUUGACCAAAACUUAGAAGAAGGAUGAUUAGAAUAUGUAGAGACAUUUCCCCUCUAAUGUUUGGCCCACAUUCCUCUGUUGUCUUAUAGCCUUGUGAGCUCUUUAACUUCUUUCCUGCAAUUUCCUCCUGCAUCUGUAUUCUGGCCUUGAUGUUACAUUGCAACCUUGAUUGCAGUGCAAAUGGGAGCAGAGCAAAACUCAUGGGACUCCGUGUCAUUCAAACAUGAAAAGCAAACAGUGACAAUUUCAAAGCAUAGGUUGGAAAAAAUGCAAUGAUGGUUCAAUAAGUGUGUUGGGAGGUAGAUGCCAAGUCUGUACAACUGGGGCUCAGAAGAGGAUGUAAUAGACAUGCCAGGCCAUGCUGACAGAUGAAUAGUCAAAAGGGAAGCUGAAGAGAUGUAACUCACAUGUCCAUGUUGGGUUUUGUAAAUCCUACUUGUGCAUUAUUGGGAAUUUACACAGAAACAGAAUCUAAAGCUUAGAAGAAAAAAUAAAGAGUUUGUAGGUCUACAUUUGAGUGUUUAUAUUGUGCCUAUGCCUAUGUAAAGUCAUUUUCCUCCUUUCAAAAUACAUUUUCCUUCUCACUUUUUGUAUUUUG